GGAAUUUUCCGCAAUGGGCGAAAGCCUGACGGAGCAAUACCGCGUGAGGGAAGACGGCCUUUGGGUUGUAAACCUCUUUUAUCAAGGAAGAAGUUCUGACGUGUACUUGAUGAAUAAGCAUCGGCUAACUCCGUGCCAGCAGCCGCGGUAAGACGGAGGAUGCAAGUGUUAUCCGGAAUCACUGGGCGUAAAGCGUCUGUAGGUGGUUUAAAAAGUCUACUGUUAAAAAUUGAAGCUUAACUUCAAAGGUGCCGUAGAAACUUUUAAACUCGAGGAUGGUAGGGGUAGAGGGAAUUUCCAGUGGAGCGGUGAAAUGCGUAGAUCUUGGAAAGACCAUCAAUGGCGAAGGCACUCUACUGGGCCAUGACUGACACUAAGAGACGAAAGCUAGGGGAGCAAAU
rnacentral:rRNA from 1 species